GACGAACGCUGGCGGCGUGCUUAACACAUGCAAGUCGAACGGAAAGGCCCUGCUUUUGUGGGGUGCUCGAGUGGCGAACGGGUGAGUAACACGUGAGUAACCUGCCCUUGACUUUGGGAUAACUUCAGGAAACUGGGGCUAAUACCGGAUAGGAGCUCCUGCUGCAUGGUGGGGGUUGGAAAGUUUCGGCGGUUGGGGAUGGACUCGCGGCUUAUCAGCUUGUUGGUGGGGUAGUGGCUUACCAAGGCUUUGACGGGUAGCCGGCCUGAGAGGGUGACCGGCCACAUUGGGACUGUGAUACGGCCCAGACUCCUACGGGAGGCAGCAGUGUGGAAUAUUGCACAAUGGGCGGAAGCCUGAUGCAGCAACGCCGCGUGCGGGAUGACGGCCUUCUGGUUGUAAACCUCUUUCGCCUGUGACGAAGCGUGAGUGACGGUAAUGGGUAAAGAAGCACCGGCUAACUACGUG
rnacentral:rRNA from 1 species